rnacentral:rRNA from 1 species
GACAGAGGGUGCAAACGUUGCUCGGAAUUACUGGGCGUAAAGCGCGUGUAGGCGGUUUCGCAAGUCAGGUGUGAAAGCCCGGGGCUCAACCCCGGAAGUGCACAUGAUACUACGGAGCUGGAGUACUGAAGAGGAGAGCGGAAUUCCCGGUGUAGAGGUGAAAUUCGUAGAUAUUGGGAAGAACACCGGUGGCGAAGGCGGCGACCUGGUCCUUGACUGACGCUGAGGCGCGAAAGCGUGGGGAGCAAACAGG